AAAGAGGCAGAAACUCCCACCAUGCGUUUCGGUGUUGAGGGCAAACAAAUAAUAUCGUCCACUCGAUAUGUUAGAACGACUGAAGUUUCUCCGUCCAGUCUAUUAGAAUACGCCUCCAAAGUCAGAACCGUCCGUCAGAACUUUAGACCAGCAAAACCGCAGGGUGGCAAAGAUUCUUCAUUCAGUGGACAGAAUUCUGGAUGGAACGAAACUGAACGGGUGUUCGAGUUGAGCGCAGCUGGAGAAAACACCGAGAUGAUGCGAAGCUCCAAAACAUUAACUACCGCUUCUGUUCUGCUUUCUGUAAUUGAAAACCUUUUAGUCUUCUAAAAAUGUUGAUAAUUUCGUUUAUAGAUAUAGGGUAGUCUAGAAUUAGAGAUGAAUGACCACACGUUCGGAUUUGCCUUUUCAUACGUCUCGCGCGCCUGCCGGUUGUGUAUCGGUUGCCGUUGGAACGAGGAAUAGAAUAGUGGUGCUUCCUUCGCCUGCAGCUGGAUUCGGUCGGCAGAGUUCCAGGACCCAGGUGGAGGGAGGCCAGGAGGUGUGGGCGGGCUCCCAGCGGUAGGAGGAGGCGUGGGUGACAGGCGGAGGCGUCUGUCCUAAAACAGGUUGUAGAGGUCAAGUAGAAGUGUAUAACAACGAUAUACUAGUACGGAUUUGUCCAGGUUAUUUUAUUGCCCUGUCGUUCAGAAAGACUACUGAGCUCUGCCUCUAUCUGAGGAAUGGCUGUGAUCCCGUCUGUCUCUGACUGUUCUUCGCAAGAGUGCGAGUCAAGUAGGGUAGAACCAAGAUGGAGACGAGGUAUCUUCAACAUAGCGCCCCCUAUCAGUCCCAGGGGUUGGGGAGAAACAAGAUGGAGACUAGGUAUCUUCAACACAGCGCCCCUUGUCAGUCCCAGUGGAUGGGGAGAAACAAGAUGGAGACGAGGUAUCUUCAACACAGCGCCCCCUGUCAGUCCCAGGGGUUGGGGAGAAACAAGAUGGAGACGAGGUAUCUUCAACACAGCGCCCCCUGUCAGUCCCAGCGGUUGGGGAGAAACAAGAUGGAGACUAGGUAUCUUCAACACAGCGCCCCCUGUCAGUCCCAGGGGUUGGGGAGAAACAAGAUGGAGACUAGGUAUCUUCAACACAGCGCCCCCUGUCAGUCCCAGGGGUUGGGGAGAAACAAGAUGGAGACUAGGUAUCUUCAACACAGCGCCCCCUGUCAGUCCCAGGGGUUGGGGAGAAACAAGAUGGAGACGAGGUAUCUUCAACACAGCGCCUCCUGUCAGUCCCAGGGGUUGGGGAGAAACAAGAUGGAGACGAGGUAUCUUCAACACAGCGCCCCCUGUCAGUCCCAGGGGUUGGGGAGAAACAAGAUGGAGACUAGGUAUCUUCAACACAGCGCCCCCUGUCAGUCCCAGUGGUUGGGGAGAAACAAGAUGGAGACGAGGUAUCUUCAACACAGCGCCCCCUGUCAGUCCCAGGGGUUGGGGAGAAACAAGAUGGAGACGAGGUAUCUUCAACACAGCGCCCCCUGUCAGUCCCAGGGGUUGGGGAGAAACAAG